GGAAGAGCGAAACGAUGGUGGGGAAAGUAAUAUACCAGAAUCUGUGCUGGGGAGAGACAUACACAACCCUGCUAGGGAUGAGAGCUCACGACCAUGCUGGGGAUAACAGUACUUCAAACCCGACUGCUGGGGAAAACAUUUCACUGACACCUCCGCUGGGGAUACAACAUCCUUCCAACUCAGUGGGGAUAAUCCAACUUUGAACUCAACUAGGAACUCAACUGGGGAA
rnacentral:lncRNA from 1 species